GAUGAACGCUGGCGGCGUGCCUAAUACAUGCAAGUCGAGCGAACAGACGAGGAGCUUGCUCCUCUGACGUUAGCGGCGGACGGGUGAGUAACACGUGGAUAACCUACCUAUAAGACUGGGAUAACUUCGGGAAACCGGAGCUAAUACCGGAUAAUAUAUUGAACCGCAUGGUUCAAUAGUGAAAGACGGUUUUGCUGUCACUUAUAGAUGGAUCCGCGCCGCAUUAGCUAGUUGGUAAGGUAACGGCUUACCAGGGCAACGAUGCGUAGCCGACCUGUGAGGGUGGUAGGCCACAUGGGAGCUGAGACGGGGUCCAUACGACUGCGGUAGGGAGCAGAAGGGAAUCUUCGGCAGUAGUGGAAAGCCUGGCAGAACGGGGCGAAGUGAGUGAUAAAAGUCUUGGGAUCGGAAUGCCCUAUUAUGGGGUAUAAACAGAUUUGGAAGGAGACGUACAGUGCGUGACGGUACCGAAUCAAAAAGCAACGGCUAACUACGUG
rnacentral:rRNA from 1 species